GUAAGCGGUCCACUCACCACACAGAAGAGGUGCUGACAGUGGGGGAGACAGGGAGAAAGAAAGAGGCUGAGAGAGAAAGAGAGACGGAGAGCUGAGAGAGAAAGGAAGAACCCCAAAAGAGGAAGUUCCAGGGGUGGGGCUCCACCCACUCCCGCUUCAUGUAAGGUGGCUUUCUGUCUCUCUCUCUGUCCCUGUCUCCCUCACCUGCUCCACUGGGACACAUGCUCUGGUACCUGAGGGGCCUUGGAAUUUGUGGGCACCAAGGACUCAUGGGGCAGUCCCUCCCAGGUCUCCAUGUCUCAGGCGCUGGGGGAUCUAAAGGGACCCCUGAUCUACUGGAACCCACCUCUGGGCAUGGGGACCUCAGGGCUGACCCUGGACAGCAGCUGACCUCACAGACACUCUGACCUCAUGGCCUGCUAAGCUCUCCCAUCUCUGCAUCCAGCUGUGUCUCCCAUUUCCUGCCCUGGGUCUCUUGUUCCUCCUCUCUGGGUCUUUGUCCCCACCUUCCUGCUACUCCCCAUCUCUGUCCCCUUAUCUCAGCAGAGUCUCUCCCUCCUCUGGGUCUCUGUCCUCCUGCCUCCUGGGGUCUCUAUCCUCCCUCUCUCUGUGUUUCUUUAUUUUAUUUAUAUAUUUGUUUCUUUUUGAGACAGGGUCUCACUUUUCACCCAGGCUGGAGUACGGUGGGGAAAACAGCUCACUGUAGCCUGGGCUCAAGCUAUCCUCCCACCUCUGCCUUCUGAGUAGCUGGGAUUACAGGUGCACACUACCAUGCCUGGCUAAUUUUUGUAUUUUUUGUAGAAAUGGGGUCUUGCUAUGGAGUGGGAGUGUUGUAUUUUUUAUAUUUAAUUAAAAAAAAACAGAGAUAGGGUCUCACUAGGUUGCCCAGGCUGGUCUGGAACUCCUGGACUCAAGCGACCCUCCUGCCUUGGCCUCCCAAAGUGUUGGGAUUACAGGCGUGAGCCACUGUGCCUGGCCUCUCUCUGCUUCUGGCCCCUUCUUUGGGUCCUUCCUCCUUUCUCUCUUCAUCUCUCUUUUGUUUUUGUUUUUGAGACAGGGUCGCCCAGGCUGGAAUGCAGUAGUGCGAUCAUAGCUCACUGCAGCCCCAACCUUCCCAGGCUCGAGCAAUCCUUGCACCUCAGCCUCCCAAGUAGCUGGGACUACAGGUGCACACCACCAUGCCUGGCUAAUUUUCUUCAUUUUUUGUAGAGAUGGGAGUCUCACUGUGUUGCCUAGGCUGGUCUCAAAUUUCUGGGCUCAAGUGAUCCUCCUGCCUUGGCCUCCUAAAGUGCUGGGAUUAUGGGCGUGAGCCACUGUGCCCAGCCUGUCUUCUUUUCUCUGUCUCCCCCUUCCCCACUUGUUUUUGUGCCUCUCAGAGUCUGCAGCCUGUUCUGGACCAGGGAGCACCCAGGUGCUGGGGGCAGGGGCUGGGUACCUGGGGAAGUGAAAGUGCUACAGGCUCGAGGUGGGAAGGUCCCUGGGAGUGGGGAGGGCGCUGGGCCGUGCCAACACCCCCAGCGGAAGCUGAGCAUCAGGCGGUACUUCCUGCCUCUGCAGUGGGGCCCGAGGAGCGGAGGCCCCAGAGGAGGAGGCACUGAGCCUGGGAUCCUGACAGUCAGAUCUGGGUCUGCAGUGCCUGGUUGCAGGUGCACACCCAGUGGCCUCUGCAGUUUCCUCUGAUGUCCCCAAAUUCUCUCACCUGGUUUCCUCAUCUGAGGCAGCCCCACCAUCUAUCUAGUCAUGAGGUCAAAGCUCCAUCUUGUCCCCUCUUCCCCAACAGCGCAUCAGUCUCUUAGCCAGAUCCCUCCUGCCUGCUGAGUCUCCACUCCACCCCUCUUCUCUGUCCUGAGGGCUCAGGCAGGCUCUGGGCUCCUGCUCUCCUACCUGGACCCUGACUUUAGGCUUCUCCCUGGCUUCUAGUUUCUCCCUCCAGUCUGUCCCCCACAUAGCCCCAGAGGGGUCUUUUUGAAACCCAGUCCUGAGCCACACAGUUCUGUAUCCAAACGCUGAGUCACCACCUGCCUCAUCCCUCAGCUUUUAUUUUUUUGGUGGUUGUUGAGACAGAGUCUCACUCUUCGCCCAGGCUGGAGUACAGUGGUGCAAUCAGCUGACUGCAACCUCCGCCUCCUGGGUUCAAGCGAUUCUCCUGCCUCAUUCUCCCAAGUAGCUGGGAUUACAGGCAUGACCCACUACGCCCGGCUAAUUUUUGUAUUUUUGGUAGAGACGGGGUUUCACCAUGUUGGCCAGGCUGACCUCGAACUCCUGACCUCAAGUGAUCCGCUCACCUCGGCCUCCCCAAGUGCUGGGAUUACAGGCAUGAGCCACCACACCCAGGUUUUUGUUGUUGUUGUUGUUUGUUUGUUUUGAGAUGGAGUCUCACUCUGUUGACCAGGCUGGAGUGCAGUGGCACGAUUAUGGCUCACUGCAACCUCUGCCUCCUGCGUUCAAGCAAUUCUCCUGUCUCAGCCUCCAGAGUAGCUGGGAUUACAGGCAUGCACCACCAUACCUGACUAAUUUUUGUAUUUUUAGUACAGACAGGGUUUCACCAUGUUGGCCAGGCUGGUGUUGAACUCCUGACCUCAAGUGAUCCAACUGCCUUGGCCUCCCAAAGUGCUGACAUUACAGGUGUAAGCCACUGCGCCCAGCCCCUCAGCUUCUGUUUCUAACCACCACCAACGCCUCUCUGCUCUACCAUUAAAGUACAUUGCAAACCCAGCCACUUCUUUCCAAGGCCACCAUCCUAAGUCAGGUUCCCAUCAUUUUCUACAAAAAUAAUUAUAGCUGAUUAUAGUGGGUUGCAUGGCGUUCUCCAAAAAGAUAUGUCUAUGUCCUAAUCCCCAGAACUUGUGGUGACCUUAUUUGGAAAAAAGGGUUUUGCGGGUAUAAUUACAUUCAGGAUCUCAAGAUACUGCAUUAUCUGUGUGACCCCUAAAUCUGAUGACAAGUGUCUGUUUUUUGUUUUUGUUUUUGAGACAGAGCCUCGCUCUGUCACCCAGGCUGGAGUGCUGUGGUGUGAUCUCGGCUCACUGCAACCUCCGCCUCCCAGGUUCAAGCAAUUCUCUGCCUCAGCCUCCCGAGUAAAUGUGAUUACAGGCAGGCGCCUGCCAGCACACCCAGCUGAUUUUAGUAUUUUUAGUAGAGAUGGGGUUUCACCAUCUUGGCCAGGCUGGUCUUGAAUUCCUGACCUCGUGAUCCACCCACUUCAGCUUCCCAAAGUUCUGGGAUUACAGGCGUGAGCCACCGCACCCGGCUGACAAGUGUCCUUCUAAGAAACACACAGAGGAGAAGACACAGAAGAGGAGAGCACCAUGUGAUGGUAGACACAGAAAUUGGAGUUCUACAGCCACAAGCCAAGGAACUCCUGGAGCCACCAGGAGAUGGAAGAUGCAAAGAACUGAUUUUCUCUCAGAGCCUCUGGAGGGAGUGUGGCCCUGGUGACACCUUGAUUUUGGACUUCUGGCCUACAGAACCAUGCACACAGGAGGACUUCAUUUCCCAGGUCUCCUUGCAGUGAAGUUGAGGCCAUGUGACUGGUCUUGGGCCAAUGGAAUGGGUGCAGAAGGGACACAGCCCAUUUCUAGACUCAGCCUGAAAUGUCCUCCAUAAUCCUUACUCUUUCUCCCUUCACUCACUGGCUGCAGGAAGCUGAGAAUUAUCCUUGGACUUACAUAAAGCAUUUUGGACUUUAUGUAAGUAACAACCUGUUGUAUUAAGCUACUAAGAUUUUACGGUUGUUUGUUAAAUCAGCUAACCUUAAACAUCCUAACAACUACAAAUAGAAUACCUGUUACUGCAUACACUAUAUAUAUCAAAACAUUAUUAUGGGCCAGGUGAGGUGGCUCAUGCCUGUAAUUCCAGCACUUUGGGAGGCUGAGGCAGGAGGAUCACAUGAGCCCAGGAGUUCGAGACCAGCCUGGGCAACAUAGUGAGACCCUGUCUACAAAAAUUAACAAAAAAAUUAGCUGGGCUUUGUGGUAUGUACCUACAGUCCCAGCUACUCAGGAGGCUGAGGUGGGAGGACUGCUUGAGCCUGGGAGAUCGAAGUUGCAGUGAGCCGUGAUUGCACCACUGCACUCCAGCCUGGAUGACAGAGCAAGACCCUACAGGGGAAAAAAAAGUGGAACACCAGGAGCUACCAGAAACUGAAGAGUCAAGGAAGGAUUGUCCUCUGAGCCUUUGAAGGAAGUGGCGUGCUGACACCUUAAUUUCGGACUUUUGGCAUCCAGAACUGUGAGAUAAUAUAUUUUUGUUGCUUUAAGCCACCAAGUUUGUAGUAAUUUAUACAGCAGUCUCGGGAAGCGAAUAUACCUGCUCAAUCAGAAACUCUGGGGGCGGGCCUGGCAAUCUGUUUUUUUUUUUGUGUUUUUUUUUUGUCUCACUCUAUUGCCCAGGCUGGAGUGCAAUGGCACAACCUCGGCUCACUGCAACCUCUGCUUCCCGGGUUCAAGCGAUUCUCCCGCCUCAGCCUCCUGAGUAGCUGGGAUUACAGACACCCACCAUCAUGCCCAGCUAAUUUUUGUAUUUUUAGUAGAGACAGGGUUUCACCAUGUUGGCCAGGCUGGUCUUGAACUCCUGACCUCAGGUGAUCUGCCCACCUUGGCCUCCCAAAGUCCUGGGAUUACAGGCAAGCCACUGCACCUGGCCUGGCAGUCUGUGUUUUAACAAGCCUUCCUGGUGACUGAUGUGCACUAACGUUUGAGAACAGCAAUUCUACCCAUUGAAUUCACCUGAUCCCCUCCUCCUUUACUGGCAAAUUCCCUCUUGCUUUUCCUCCUUCCUUCUUCACUGGCUGGUUCUCCUCAAUCUUCAUUGGAUCGUCCUUUUUCUAGCUUCUAAAAUUUGGGGAGUCCUAGCCCUUUCUAGCUACACUCACUCACGAGAUGAUAUCAUGCAGUGCCAUAGUGUUCAUCGCAAUCUACAAUACUGUUGACUUACCAAUUUAUAUGCCUAGCCUCAAACUUUCCCCUGAACUGCGGACUCAGGAAGAUUCAUUUCCCAGGUCUCCUUGCAGUGAAGGACAACUUAACCUCUGCCUUUGGCUGUAUAAUUGACAUCUCAAACUUAACACGCCCAAAACGAAACUAUUGAUUCCCUCCCACCUCCUGCACACUCCAGUACUUUCCUUUUCAGUAAAUUGUCACUCCAUCUUCCAAUUCUUCAGGCCCAAAGUUUUGGAGUCUUUUUUUUUUUUUUGAGGUCUUGCUCUGUCACACAAGUGGGAGGGCACUGGCACGAUCAUGACUCAUUGCAGCCUCAAUCUCCUGGGCUCAAGUGAUCUUCCCACUCAGCCUCCUGAGUAGCUGGGACAACAGAUGCGUGCCACCACACCUGGCUAUUAAAAAACACUUUUCUUUCCUUUAAGAGACAAGGCCGGGCUGGGCACGGUGGCUCACGCCUGUAAUCCCAGCACUUUGGGAGGCCGAGGCGGGCGGAUCACGAGUUCAGGAGAUCGAGACCAUCCUGGCUAACACAGUGAAACCCCCGUCUCUACUAAAAAUACAAAAAAUUAGCCAGGCGUAGUGGCGGGCGCCUGUAGUCCCAGCUAUUCGGGAGGCUGAGGCAGGAGAAUGGUGUGAACCUGGGAGGCAGAGCUUGCAGUGAGUGGAGAUCGCACCACUGCACUCCAGCCUGGGCGACAGAGCGAGACUAGACUGUCUCAAAAAAAAAAAAAAAAAAAAAAAAAGACAAGGCCUUGCUAUGUUGCCCAGGCUAGUAUCCUACUAUCAAACUCCUAGCCUCAAGCAAUCCUCCCACCUCGCCCUUGCAAAGUGCUGGGACUACAGGUGCAAGCCACCGCUCCCGGCUGAGUCAUUCUUGAUUCCUCUCUUUCUCUCAGACCCCAAACCUAAUCACCAUUAGUUUUCUAAUGCUCUGUAACAAAUUACCCCAAAUUUAGCAGUUUAAAACAAUAAACAUUUCUUAGGCCAGGAGCGGUGGCUCACUGUAAUCCCAGCACUUUGGGAGGCUGAGGCAGGCAGAUUACGAGGUCAGGAGUUCGAGACCAGCCUGACCA
rnacentral:lncRNA from 1 species